rnacentral:rRNA from 1 species
GUGCCAGCAGCCGCGGUAAUACAGAGGGUGCGAGCGUUAAUCGGAUUUACUGGGCGUAAAGCGUGCGUAGGCGGCUUUUUAAGUCGGAUGUGAAAUCCCCGAGCUUAACUUGGGAAUUGCAUUCGAUACUGGGAAGCUAGAGUAUGGGAGAGGAUGGUAGAAUUCCAGGUGUAGCGGUGAAAUGCGUACAGAUCUGGAGGAAUACCGAUGGCGAAGGCAGCCAUCUGGCCUAAUACUGACGCUGAGGUACUAAAGCAUGGGGAGCAAACAGGAUUAGAUACCCCGGUAGUCC